AAAGACUUAGUCCUAACCUUACUGUUAACUAUCGCUAAACAUAUACAUGCAAGUAUCCGCACCCCAGUGUAAAUGCCCUUAACUUCUCAUUCGAGAUUAAAAGGAGCAGGUAUCAGGCACACUCGAUUGUAGCCCAAGACACCUUGCUCAGCCACACCCCCACGGGUACUCAGCAGUAAUUAACAUUAAGCAAUAAGUGAAAACUUGACUUAGUUAUAGCAACAUAUAGGGUCGGUAAAUCUUGUGCCAGCCACCGCGGUCAUACAAGAAACCCAAGUUAACCAAAUACGGCGUAAAGAGUGGCACCAUGCUAUCACAUCAACUAAGAUUAAAAUACAACUAGGCUGUAAUAAGCUUAAGAUGUACCAAAGGCCCCUUUAAAAAUAAUCUUAGCCCACAUACAAGACCAAUUAGCCCCCACGAAAGCCAGGACACAAACUGGGAUUAGAUACCCCACUAUGCCUAGCCUUAAAUCUUGAUACUUACCCCACUAAAGUAUCCGCCUGGGAACUACGAGCACAAACGCUUAAAACCCUAAGGACUUGGCGGUGCCCCAAACCCACCUAGAGGAGCCUGUUCUAUAAUCGAUAACCCACGAUACACCCAACCCUCCCUUGACAAAACAGCCUAUAUACCGCCGUCGCCAGCCUACCUCCAUGAGAGCCUAACAGUAGGCACAACAGCCCCCCGCUAAAAAGACAGGUCAAGGUAUAGCCUAUGGGAGGGAAGAAAUGGGCUACAUUUUCUAAACUAGAAAACUUCACGGAAUGGAGUGUGAAACCACUCCUAGAAGGCGGAUUUAGCAGUAAAGCAGGACAAUAUGAGCCUGCUUUAAGUCGGCCCUAGGGCACGUACAUACCGCCCGUCACCCUCCUCAUAAGCUACAAUCCACUAUAUACCUAAAACUAACAUCAGCCAAAGACGAGGUAAGUCGUAACAAGGUAAGUGUACCGGAAGGUGUACUUAGCACAC
rnacentral:ncRNA from 1 species